UCCCGCCUCUGGUGGAACUCAACAGGUGGAUCACAAAGCACCUGCAAGAUCAAGGUUGUGUGAGAGACAGAGGUGAGACGUCCUCGUGUAGCGGCGACGGGGGACAAGAAAGUUGAUGAGUAGCAUUAAAAACUAAACAGUGAGUAAAACCUACCCGCUAACUAACCAACACAGAGGAGUACCAAAGCAGAAGCAGCCGGACGACAGGAGGUCCGGUUUUGUUUUUCCCAGCUAUCUCGGUCAGGUCUUAUGGACAGAGCGAGAGACACCCCUGGAGAUGAUGGCGAGCCUCCCAGUGUGAUUCUGCUUGGAACCUGGAGCCCAGAGCUGACACAUCGAAUAAUCCACCUGAUGUUGCAGAGGAGGCUUUCAUCAGUGGUGUUCCUGUUUCUGGUCUCUUCAGAAAACCAGCUUCGGAUUUGUCAUGCCUCAGCUUGUGUCCAGGUGGCUGACUGCUCUUCUGGCUGUGCUUCUCUUAACGCCUCAGUUGGCUUUACUUUUCCUCUUCCCCACAACACUAAAGACUGCUCAAGGCUGCAGAGAAUUAGUGGACAGCAAAGCAACUGUAUCUAACCUCAGAUGGCAUGAAUCCACGUCUCCAGCAGCUGUGGCAGCACUGGCCAGAGGCUCCUGCUGUGUAACUUUCUUCUCAAAGGCCUCCCUUCGAUACUCUGCCUCAGGGACUUGCUCUUCCAGCUGGACAACCUGCUUCAGUCCAUCAGUAUACCUGGUGUGAGGAUGGUGCCUGAUCUUUGGGGAAAAUGUAGCAGAUUCUCCUGUGAGAAGAGAGCGGUGCAAGGAUGGGUUGAACAAAUCAAUGUGCUGCAUGCAGCUCUUCUCUGACAUAAGGUUUAGCCGUUUGAAAUGAUUAAAUAUUUUCAUUAUGAAACUGUGGUGGGACUCAUUGGACUGUGACAGCGGAUGUCAGUUGAAAAGGGCAGAUAAGUAUCAAAAUAGAGACAAAAACUACAGUUAAUCUGAUUUGGUUCUUUUAUGACAUCGUAUUUGAUUUCUGAAGUAGUCACUUGGAGAAAGUAUGAAACGACUUCAGCUUGGGGUGAGGUAAAACCUCAAAUCAUCAUCUUGUUCAAGGUAACAAAAACUCUUACCCUUCCCCCUCCCUUCAUCAGCACCUCACAAACUGAUGUGUG